UAAUAAAGCAUAGCGCCAGAACUCUUUGAGUUGACGAGGACUAGAUUGAUCGAAAAUUCGGCGGAUAAUCUAGAGGCAUAGUACUGCCUGAGCGAUAAGCAAAAACGAGAAGUGAUUCUCCAACAGAUCUUAUCAGGUACUCAU
rnacentral:ncRNA from 1 species